rnacentral:tRNA from 2 species
GUCUUUGUAGCUUAUCAACUAAAGCAUGGCACUGAAGAUGCCAAGAUGACUGCCAUACGCGUCCAAAGACA